rnacentral:rRNA from 1 species
GGUUAAGCGACUAAGCGUACACGGUGGAUGCCCUGGCAGUCAGAGGCGAUGAAGGACGUGCUAAUCUGCGAUAAGCGUCGGUAAGGUGAUAUGAACCGUUAUAACCGGCGAUUUCCGAAUGGGGAAACCCAGUGUGAUUCGUCACACUAUCAUUAACUGAAUCCAUAGGUUAAUGAGGCGAACCGGGGGAACUGAAACAUCUAAGUACCCCGAGGAAAAGAAAUCAACCGAGAUUCCCCCAGUAGCGGCGAGCGAACGGGGAGCAGCCCAGAGCCUGAAUCAGUGUGUGUGUUAGUGGAAGCGUCUGGAAAGGCGCGCGAUACAGGGUGACAGCCCCGUACACAAAAAUGCACAUGCUGUGAGCUCGAUGAGUAGGGCGGGACACGUGGUAUCCUGUCUGAAUAUGGGGGGACCAUCCUCCAAGGCUAAAUACUCCUGACUGACCGAUAGUGAACCAGUACCGUGAGGGAAAGGCGAAAAGAACCCCGGCGAGGGGAGUGAAAAAGAACCUGAAACCGUGUACGUACAAGCAGUGGGAGCCUCUUUAUGGGGUGACUGCGUACCUUUUGUAUAAUGGGUCAGCGACUUAUAUUCUGUAGCAAGGUUAACCGAAUAGGGGAGCCGAAGGGAAACCGAGUCUUAACUGGGCGUUAAGUUGCAGGGUAUAGACCCGAAACCCGGUGAUCUAGCCAUGGGCAGGUUGAAGGUUGGGUAACACUAACUGGAGGACCGAACCGACUAAUGUUGAAAAAUUAGCGGAUGACUUGUGGCUGGGGGUGAAAGGCCAAUCAAACCGGGAGAUAGCUGGUUCUCCCCGAAAGCUAUUUAGGUAGCGCCUCGUGAAUUCAUCUCCGGGGGUAGAGCACUGUUUCGGCAAGGGGGUCAUCCCGACUUACCAACCCGAUGCAAACUGCGAAUACCGGAGAAUGUUAUCACGGGAGACACACGGCGGGUGCUAACGUCCGUCGUGAAGAGGGAAACAACCCAGACCGCCAGCUAAGGUCCCAAAGUCAUGGUUAAGUGGGAAACGAUGUGGGAAGGCCCAGACAGCCAGGAUGUUGGCUUAGAAGCAGCCAUCAUUUAAAGAAAGCGUAAUAGCUCACUGGUCGAGUCGGCCUGCGCGGAAGAUGUAACGGGGCUAAACCAUGCACCGAAGCUGCGGCAGCGACACUAAGUGUUGUUGGGUAGGGGAGCGUUCUGUAAGCCUGUGAAGGUGUACUGUGAGGUAUGCUGGAGGUAUCAGAAGUGCGAAUGCUGACAUAAGUAACGAUAAAGCGGGUGAAAAGCCCGCUCGCCGGAAGACCAAGGGUUCCUGUCCAACGUUAAUCGGGGCAGGGUGAGUCGACCCCUAAGGCGAGGCCGAAAGGCGUAGUCGAUGGGAAACAGGUUAAUAUUCCUGUACUUGGUGUUACUGCGAAGGGGGGACGGAGAAGGCUAUGUUGGCCGGGCGACGGUUGUCCCGGUUUAAGCGUGUAGGCUGGUUUUCCAGGCAAAUCCGGAAAAUCAAGGCUGAGGCGUGAUGACGAGGCACUACGGUGCUGAAGCAACAAAUGCCCUGCUUCCAGGAAAAGCCUCUAAGCAUCAGGUAACAUCAAAUCGUACCCCAAACCGACACAGGUGGUCAGGUAGAGAAUACCAAGGCGCUUGAGAGAACUCGGGUGAAGGAACUAGGCAAAAUGGUGCCGUAACUUCGGGAGAAGGCACGCUGAUAUGUAGGUGAAGCGACUUGCUCGUGGAGCUGAAAUCAGUCGAAGAUACCAGCUGGCUGCAACUGUUUAUUAAAAACACAGCACUGUGCAAACACGAAAGUGGACGUAUACGGUGUGACGCCUGCCCGGUGCCGGAAGGUUAAUUGAUGGGGUUAGCGCAAGCGAAGCUCUUGAUCGAAGCCCCGGUAAACGGCGGCCGUAACUAUAACGGUCCUAAGGUAGCGAAAUUCCUUGUCGGGUAAGUUCCGACCUGCACGAAUGGCGUAAUGAUGGCCAGGCUGUCUCCACCCGAGACUCAGUGAAAUUGAACUCGCUGUGAAGAUGCAGUGUACCCGCGGCAAGACGGAAAGACCCCGUGAACCUUUACUAUAGCUUGACACUGAACAUUGAGCCUUGAUGUGUAGGAUAGGUGGGAGGCUUUGAAGUGUGGACGCCAGUCUGCAUGGAGCCGACCUUGAAAUACCACCCUUUAAUGUUUGAUGUUCUAACGUUGGCCCCUGAUCGGGGUUGCGGACAGUGUCUGGUGGGUAGUUUGACUGGGGCGGUCUCCUCCUAAAGAGUAACGGAGGAGCACGAAGGUUGGCUAAUCCUGGUCGGACAUCAGGAGGUUAGUGCAAUGGCAUAAGCCAGCUUGACUGCGAGCGUGACGGCGCGAGCAGGUGCGAAAGCAGGUCAUAGUGAUCCGGUGGUUCUGAAUGGAAGGGCCAUCGCUCAACGGAUAAAAGGUACUCCGGGGAUAACAGGCUGAUACCGCCCAAGAGUUCAUAUCGACGGCGGUGUUUGGCACCUCGAUGUCGGCUCAUCACAUCCUGGGGCUGAAGUAGGUCCCAAGGGUAUGGCUGUUCGCCAUUUAAAGUGGUACGCGAGCUGGGUUUAGAACGUCGUGAGACAGUUCGGUCCCUAUCUGCCGUGGGCGCUGGAGAACUGAGGGGGGCUGCUCCUAGUACGAGAGGACCGGAGUGGACGCAUCACUGGUGUUCGGGUUGUCAUGCCAAUGGCACUGCCCGGUAGCUAAAUGCGGAAGAGAUAAGUGCUGAAAGCAUCUAAGCACGAAACUUGCCCCGAGAUGAGUUCUCCCUGACUCCUUGAGAGUCCUGAAGGAACGUUGAAGACGACGACGUUGAUAGGCCGGGUGUGUAAGCGCAGCGAUGCGUUGAGCUAACCGGUACUAAUGAACCGUGAGGCUUAACCUU